GACGAACGCUGGCGGCGUGCCUAAUACAUGCAAGUCGAACGAGAGCAACCGGUGCUUGCACUGGUCAAACUAGUGGCGAACGGGGGAGUAACACGUGGGUAACCUGCACAUCAGAGGGGGAGAAAACCCGGAAACGGAUGCUAAAACCGCAUAGGUCUUCAAACCGCAGGGUUGGAAGAGGAAAAGAGGCGCAAGUUUAUGCGGAUGGAUGGACCCGCGGUGCAUUAGCUAGUUGGUGAGGUAACGGCUGACCAAGGCCGGGAUGCGUAGCCGACCUGAGAUGGUGAUCGGCCAGAUUGGGACUGAGACACGGCCCACACUCCUUCGGGAGGCAGCAGUAGGGAAUCUUCCGCAAUGGACGCAAGUCUGACGGAGCAACGCCGCGUGAUUGAAGAAGGUUUUCGGAUCGUAAAACUCUGUUGUUAGAGAAGAACAAGUGCUAGAGUAACUGUUGGCGCCUUGACGGUAUCUAACCAAAAAGCCACGGCUAACUACGUG
rnacentral:rRNA from 1 species